rnacentral:rRNA from 1 species
UACGUAGGGGGCGAGCGUUGUCCGGAUUUAUUGGGCGUAAAGAGCGUGUAGGCGGUUCGGUAAGUCUGUCGUGAAAUCCUGAGGCUCAACCUCGGGCGUGCGAUGGAUACUGCCGGGCUAGAGGGUGGUAGAGGCGAGUGGAAUUCCCGGUGUAGCGGUGAAAUGCGCAGAUAUCGGGAGGAACACCAGUGGCGAAGGCGGCUCUCUGGGCCCUACCUGACGCUGAGACGCGAAAGCGUGGGGAGCGAACCGG